rnacentral:rRNA from 1 species
GGGGAAUUUUGGACAAUGGGGGAAACCCUGAUCCAGCCAUCCCGCGUGUGCGAUGAAGGCCUUCGGGUUGUAAAGCACUUUUGGCAGGCAAGAAAUGGCGUGUGUUAAUACCAUGCGCAGAUGACGGUACCUGCAGAAUAAGCACCGGCUAACUACGUGCCAGCAGCCGCGGUAAUACGUAGGGUGCAAGCGUUAAUCGGAAUUACUGGGCGUAAAGCGUGCGCAGGCGGUCCGGAAAGAAAGAUGUGAAAUCCCAGGGCUCAACCUUGGAACUGCAUUUUUAACUACCGGACUAGAGUAUGUCAGAGGGAGGUGGAAUUCCACGUGUAGCAGUGAAAUGCGUAGAUAUGUGGAGGAACACCGAUGGCGAAGGCAGCCUCCUGGGAUAAUACUGACGCUCAUGCACGAAAGCGUGGGGAGCAAAC